AGUAAGGCUGAGUAUUAGGCAAAUCCGGUACUCAUUAAGGCUGAGCUGUGAUGGGGAGAAGACAUUGUGUCUUCGAGUCGUUGAUUUCACACUGCCGAGAAAAGCCUCUAGAUAGAAAAUAGGUGCCCGUACCGCAAACCGACACAGGUAGUCAAGAUGAGAAUUCUAAGGUGAGCGAGCGAACUCUCGUUAAGGAACUCGGCAAAAUGACCCCGUAACUUCGGGAGAAGGGGUGCUCUUUAGGGUUAACGCCCAGAAGAGCCGCAGUGAAUAGGCCCAAGCGACUGUUUAUCAAAAACACAGGUCUCUGCUAAACCGUAAGGUGAUGUAUAGGGGCUGACGCCUGCCCGGUGCUGGAAGGUUAAGAGGAGUGGUUAGCUUCUGCGAAGCUACGAAUCGAAGCCCCAGUAAACGGCGGCCGUAACUAUAACGGUCCUAAGGUAGCGAAAUUCCUUGUCGGGUAAGUUCCGACCCGCACGAAAGGCGUAACGAUUUGGGCACUGUCUCAACGAGAGACUCGGUGAAAUCAUAGUACCUGUGAAGAUGCAGGUUACCCGCGACAGGACGGAAAGACCCCGUGGAGCUUUACUGUAGCCUGAUAUUGAAAUUCGGCACAGCUUGUACAGGAUAGGUAGGAGCCUUUGAAACGUGAGCGCUAGCUUACGUGGAGGCGCUGGUGGGAUACUACCCUAGCUGUGUUGGCUUUCUAACCCGCACCACUUAUCGUGGUGGGAGACAGUGUCAGGCGGGCAGUUUGACUGGGGCGGUCGCCUCCUAAAAGGUAACGGAGGCGCUCAAAGGUUCCCUCAGAAUGGUUGGAAAUCAUUCAUAGAGUGUAAAGGCAUAAGGGAGCUUGACUGCGAGACCUACAAGUCGAGCAGGGUCGAAAGACGGACUUAGUGAUCCGGUGGUUCCGCAUGGAAGGGCCAUCGCUCAACGGAUAAAAGCUACCCCGGGGAUAACAGGCUUAUCUCCCCCAAGAGUUCACAUCGACGGGGAGGUUUGGCACCUCGAUGUCGGCUCAUCGCAUCCUGGGGCUGUAGUCGGUCCCAAGGGUUGGGCUGUUCGCCCAUUAAAGCGGUACGCGAGCUGGGUUCAGAACGUCGUGAGACAGUUCGGUCCCUAUCCGUCGUGGGCGUAGGAAAUUUGAGAGGAGCUGUCCUUAGUACGAGAGGACCGGGAUGGACAUACCUCUGGUGUACCAGUUGUCGUGCCAACGGCAUAGCUGGGUAGCUAUGUGUGGACGGGAUAAGUGCUGAAAGCAUCUAAGCAUGAAGCCCCCCUCAAGAUGAGAUUUCCCAACUUCGGUUAUAAGAUCCCUCAAAGAUGAUGAGGUUAAUAGGUUCGAGGUGGAAGCAUGGUGACAUGUGGAGCUGACGAAUACUAAUCGAUCGAAGACUUAAUCAA
rnacentral:rRNA from 1 species